AGCUGGUCUGAGAGGAUGAUCAGCCACAUCGGGACUGAGACACGGCCCGAACUCCUACGGGAGGCAGCAGUGGGGAAUAUUGGACAAUGGGGGGAACCCUGAUCCAGCCAUGCCGCGUGUGUGAAGAAGGCCCUCGGGUUGUAAAGCACUUUCAGUGAGGAAGAACGCCUGGUGGUUAAUACCCAUCAGGAAAGACAUCACUCACAGAAGAAGCACCGGCUAACUCCGUGCCAGCAGCCGCGGUAAUACGGAGGGUGCGAGCGUUAAUCGGAAUUACUGGGCGUAAAGCGCGCGUAGGUGGCUUGAUAAGCCGGUUGUGAAAGCCCCGGGCUCAACCUGGGAACGGCAUCCGGAACUGUCAAGCUAGAGUGCAGGAGAGGAAGGUAGAAUUCCCGGUGUAGCGGUGAAAUGCGUAGAGAUCGNGGAGGAAUACCAGUGGCGAAGGCGGCCUUCUGGACUGACACUGACACUGAGGUGCGAAAGCGUGGGUAGCAAACAGGAUUAGAUACCCUGGUAGUCCACGCCGUAAACGAUGUCGACCAGCCGUUGGGUGCCUAGCGCACUUUGUGGCGGAGUUAACGCGAUAAGUCGACCGCCCUGGGGAGUACGGCCGCAANGNNGUUANANAACUCAAAUGAAUUGACGGGGGCCCGCACAAGCGGUGGAGCAUGUGGUUUAAUUCGAUGCAACGCGAAGAACCUUACCUACUCUUGACAUCCUGCGAAUUUGGUAGAGAUACCUUAGUGCCUUCGGGAACGCAGAGACAGGUGCUGCAUGGCUGUCGUCAGCUCGUGUUGUGAAAUGUUGGGUUAAGUCCCGUAACGAGCGCAACCCUUGUCCUUAUUUGCCAGCGCGUAAUGGCGGGAACUCUAAGGAGACUGCCGGUGACAAACCGGAGGAAGGUGGGGACGACGUCAAGUCAUCAUGGCCCUUACGAGUAGGGCUACACACGUGCUACAAUGGUCGGUACAAAGGGUUGCCAACUCGCGAGAGUGAGCCAAUCCCG
rnacentral:rRNA from 1 species